rnacentral:tRNA from 1 species
GCGCCAGUAGUCUAGUGGUUAGGAUUUGAGCUUCCCAAGCUCGCGACGCGGGUUCGAAUCCCGCCUGGCGCA